GCCUCGAUAGCUUAGUGGUUAAGCGCUCGUCCAGUAAUUGUGAGACGUGGGUUCGAGUCCCACCUGGGUCU
rfam:Orchesella cincta Ocin01_Sc1535, whole genome shotgun sequence.